ACUAUCUACCAGUCCAAGAC
rnacentral:misc_RNA from 1 species